rnacentral:rRNA from 1 species
UGCAAGUCGAGGGGCAGCGCAGUAGCAAUACGGGCGGCGACCGGCAAACGGGUGCGUAACACGUACGCAACCUUCCCGUUACUGGGGGAUAGCCCAGGGAAACUUGGAUUAAUACCCCAUAUUACAGAGUUCCGGCAUCGGGAUUCUGUCAAAGUUCCGACGGUAACGGAUGGGCGUGCGGUUGAUUAGGUAGUUGGCGGGGUAACGGCCCACCAAGCCUACGAUCAAUAGCUGAUGUGAGAGCAUGAUCAGCCACACGGGCACUGAGACACGGGCCCGACUCCUACGGGAGGCAGCAGUAAGGAAUAUUGGGCAAUGGACGCAAGUCUGACCCAGCCAUGCCGCGUGAAGGAUGAAGGUCCUCUGGAUUGUAAACUUCUUUUAUCUGGGGCGAAAAAAGGCCAUUCUUGGCAGCUUGACGGUACCAGAUGAAUAAGCACCGGCUAACUCCGUGCCAGCAGCCGCGGUAAUACGGAGGGUGCAAGCGUUAUCCGGAUUCACUGGGUUUAAAGGGUGCGUAGGUGGGCAGGUAAGUCAGUGGUGAAAUCCUCGGGCUCAACCCGGGAACUGCCGUUGAUACUAUCUGUCUUGAAUGCCAUGGAGGUAAGUGGAAUAUGUCAUGUAGCGGUGA